AUACGAGGGGUGCAAGCGUUAUUCGGAAUGACUGGGCGUAAAGGGUGUGUAGACGGUAUGUUAAGUCUAUUGUUAAAUUCUUCGGCCUAACCGAGGACCUGCGAUAGAAACUGGCAAACUAGAGGGUGGAAGAGAGAAGUGGAAUUCUCGGAGUAGCGGUAAAAUGCGUAGAUCUCGAGAGGAACACCAAUGGCGAAGGCAGCUUCUUGGUCCAUACCUGACGUUGAGACACGAAAGCGUGGGGAGCAAACAGGAUUAGAUACCCUGGUAGUCCACGCUGUAAACGAUGAUCACUAGACGUCGGCCUAGCUUAGCUGGGUUGGGGUCGCAGCUAACGCGUUAAGUGAUCCGCCUGGGGAGUACGGUCGCAAGAUUAAA
rnacentral:rRNA from 1 species